rnacentral:misc_RNA from 1 species
UCCGAGUUAACCCCGGCAGUCUCCCGUGAGUCCCCAACUGAAUGCUGGCAACACGGGAUAAGGGUUGCGCUCGUUGCGGGACUUAACCCAACAUCUCACGACACGAGCUGACGACAGCCAUGCACCACCUGUCACCCAGUCCGAAGAGGCCUCUAUCUCUAGAGGUUUCCGGGUGAUGUCAAACCUAGGUAAGGUGGGGAUGACGUACCAAGGUUGGUU